rnacentral:rRNA from 1 species
AUGGGGAAUUUCGCGUCGAGGGAUGCUUCUUCUUCAGUCAAAGAGGCACAAAGGGUAUCAGCAACCAGCUGCAGGCCCAAGGACUCAAGGAGGAAGCACUGGGACUCUGAGAGUAUUCAAGAUUGGUUGGAGAUGGCGGAAUUGGCCGGGCCGCGGGUGUACAGCUGCUGCCAUUGCUGGAACCACGUCUGCCUCCACGACGAUGUCAUCUCCAAGGCCUUCCACGUGAACAACUUCACCAAGGGGAGGAAUGGCCGCGCAUUUCUCUCCUCUCACGCCAUGAACAUCACCACGGGGGCCAAGGAGGACAGGCAGUUCAUGACGGGGCUUCACACGGUCACCGACAUCCACUGCCGUGGCUGCCGCGAGGUGCUCGGAUGGAAGUACGAGAGAGCCUACGAGGAAUCCCAAAAGUACAAGGAAGGCAAGUUCAUAUUUGAAAAAGACAAGAUCGUGCAGAAGAAUAGCAGAGAGAUGGCGGAACUGGUUGGGCCGCGGGUGUACAGCUGCCGCCAUUGCCGGAACCACGUCUGCCUCCUUGACGAUAUUAUCUCCAAGGCCUUCCAGGGGAGGAAUGGCCACGCGUUUCUCUCCUACCACGCCAUGAACGUCACCACAGGGGCCAAGGAGGACAGGCAGCUCAUGACAGGGCUCCACAUGAUCACCAACAUCCAUUGUCGUGAUUGCCAGGAGGUGCUCGGGUGGAAGUACGAGAGGGCCUACGAGGAGUCCCAGAAGUACAAGGAAGGCAGGUUCAUAUUUGAACAGGCCAAGAUCAUGCAGGAGAACUGGUAG